CAGCGCCGCGGUAAUACGCAGGGGGCUAGCGUUGCUCGGAAUUACUGGGCGUAAAGGGAGCGUAGGCGGGUCGUUUAGUCAGAGGUGAAAUCCCGGGGCUCAACCUCGGAACUGCCUUUGAUACUGGCGACCUUGAGUAUGGGAGAGGUAAGCGGAACUCCGAGUGUAGAGGUGAAAUUCGUAGAUAUUCGGAAGAACACCAGUGGCGAAGGCGGCUUACUGGCCCAUUACUGACGCUGAGGCUCGAAAGCGUGGGGAGCAAACAGGAUUAGAUACCCCCGUAGUCCCUGUCUCUUAUACA
rnacentral:rRNA from 1 species